CAUCUUCGUCAUCUUCCUCUU
rnacentral:misc_RNA from 1 species